ACGAACGCUGGCGGCGUGCCUAAUACAUGCCAGUUGAGCGCUGAAGGUUGGUACUUGUACCAACUGGAUGAGCAGCGAACGGGUGAGUAACGCGUGGGGAAUCUGCCUUUGAGCGGGGGACAACAUUUGGAAACGAAUGCUAAUACCGCAUAAAAACUUUAAACACAAGUUUUAAGUUUGAAAGAUGCAAUUGCAUCACUCAAAGAUGAUCCCGCGUUGUAUUAGCUAGUUGGUGAGGUAAAGGCUCACCAAGGCGAUGAUACAUAGCCGACCUGAGAGGGUGAUCGGCCACAUUGGGACUGAGACACGGCCCAAACUCCUACGGGAGGCAGCAGUAGGGAAUCUUCGGCAAUGGACGAAAGUCUGACCGAGCAACGCCGCGUGAGUGAAGAAGGGUUUCGGAUCGUAAAACUCUGUUGGUAGAGAAGAACGUUGGUGAGAGUGGAAAGCUCAUCAAGUGACGGUAACUACCCAGAAAGGGACGGCUAACUACGUG
rnacentral:rRNA from 1 species